rnacentral:rRNA from 1 species
UACGGAGGGUGCAAGCGUUGUCCGGAUUUAUUGGGUUUAAAGGGUGCGUAGGCGGCCCGAUAAGUCAGUGGUGAAAGCCUCCAGCUCAACUGGAGAACUGCCAUUGAUACUGUCGGGCUUGAGUACAGACGAGGUUGGCGGAAUUGAUUGUGUAGCGGUGAAAUGCAUAGAUACAAUCAAGAACACCGAUUGCGUAGGCAGCUAACUAGGCUGUAACUGACGCUGAGGCACGAAAGCGUGGGGAGCGAACAGG